rnacentral:rRNA from 1 species
GAGUAACACGUAUCCAACCUGCCGAUGACUCGGGGAUAGCCUUUCGAAAGAAAGAUUAAUACCCGAUGGCAUAGUUCUUCCGCAUGGUAGAACUAUUAAAGAAUUUCGGUCAUCGAUGGGGAUGCGUUCCAUUAGGUUGUUGGCGGGUAACGGCCCACCAAGCCUUCGAUGGAUAGGGGUUCUGAGAGGAAGGUCCCCCACAUUGGAACUGAGACACGGUCCAAACUCCUACGGGAGGCAGCAUG